UACGGAGGGUGCAAGCGUUGCUCGGAAUUACUGGGCGUAAAGCGCACGCAGGCGGCUGUGCAAGUCGGAUGUGAAAGCCCCGGGCUCAACCCGGGAACUGCAUUCGAAACUGCACGGCUUGAGUUCGAGAGAGGGUGGUGGAAUUCCUGGUGUAGAGGUGAAAUUCGUUGAUAUCAGGAGGAACACCGGCGGCGAAGGCGGCCACCUGGCUCGACACUGACGCUCAUGUGCGAAAGCGUGGGUAGCAAACAGG
rnacentral:rRNA from 1 species